GAUGAACGCUGGCGGCGUGCUUAACACAUGCAAGUCGAGCGAAACACUUUGUUUGGAUUUCUUCGGAAUGACGAACUUUGUGAUUGAGCGGCGGACGGGUGAGUAACGCGUGGAUAACCUACCUCAUACAGGGGGAUAACAGUUAGAAAUGACUGCUAAUACCGCAUAAGACCGCAGUACCGCAUGGUACAGUGGUAAAAACUCCGGUGGUAUGAGAUGGAUCCGCGUCUGAUUAGCUAGUUGGUGAGGUAAUGGCCCACCAAGGCGACGAUCAGUAGCCGACCUGAGAGGGUGACCGGCCACAUUGGGACUGAGACACGGCCCAAACUCCUACGGGAGGCAGCAGUGGGGAAUAUUGCACAAUGGGCGAAAGCCUGAUGCAGCGACGCCGCGUGAGUGAUGACGUAUUUCAGUAUGUAAAGCUCUAUCAGCAGGGAAGAAAAUGACGGUACCUGACUAAGAAGCCCGGCUAACUACGUGCC
rnacentral:rRNA from 1 species